rnacentral:rRNA from 1 species
AGCAUAUCAAUAAGCGGAGGAAAAGAAACCAACAGGGAUUGCCCCAGUAACGGCGAGUGAAGCGGCAACAGCUCAAAUUUGAAAUCUGGCUUCGGCCCGAGUUGUAAUUUGUAGAGGAAGCUUUUGGCAAGGCACCGACUGAGUCCCCUGGAACGGGGCGCCAUAGAGGGUGAGAGCCCCGUAUAGUUGGACGCUGAGCCUCUGUAAAGCUCCUUCGACGAGUCGAGUAGUUUGGGAAUGCUGCUCAAAAUGGGAGGUAAAUUUCUUCUAAAGCUAAAUAUUGGCCAGAGACCGAUAGCGCACAAGUAGAGUGAUCGAAAGAUGAAAAGCACUUUGAAAAGAGGGUUAAAUAGCACGUGAAAUUGUUGAAAGGGAAGCGCUUGUGACCAGACUUGCGCCUGGCCGAUCAUCCGGGGUUCUCCCCGGUGCACUCGGCCAGGCUCAGGCCAGCAUCGGUUCUCUUGGGGGGACAAAGGUCCCGGGAACGUAGCUCUCUACGGGGAGUGUUAUAGCCCGGGGCGUAAUGCCCUCGAGGGGACCGAGGACCGCGCUUCGGCAAGGAUGCUGGCGUUACGGUCAUCAGCGACCCGUCUUGAAACACGGACCAAGGAGUCAAGGUUUUGCGCGAGUGUUUGGGUGUAAAACCCGCACGCGUAAUGAAAGUAAACGUAGGUGAGAGCUUCGGCGCAUCAUCGACCGGCCCAGAUGUUCUCGGAAGGGCCUGAGUAGGAGCGUUAAGCCUUGGACCCGAAAGAUGGUGAACUAUGCUUGGAUAGGGUGAAGCCAGAGGAAACUCUGGUGGAGGCUCGCAGCGGUUCUGACGUGCAAAUCGAUCGUCAAAUCUGAGCAUGGGGGCGAAAGACUAAUCGAACCAUCUAGUAGCUGGUUACCGCCGA